UGAGUACGAGAUGCUACGGCGUCGAAGCAGUCUAUGUCAUACUUCCAAGAAAAGCUUGCACUGUCAGAAACAGAUAAUGCCUGUACCGUAACCGACACAGGUGGGUAGGUAGAGUAUACUAAGGGGCGCGAGAUAACUCUCUCUAAGGAACUCGGCAAAAUGACUCCGUAACUUCGGGAGAAGGAGUGCCUUAUUUUUAAGGUUGCAAUAACAAGAUCCAAGCAACUGUUUACCAAAAACACAGGUCUCCGCUAAGUCGUAAGACGAUGUAUGGGGGCUGACGCCUGCCCAGUGCCAGAAGGUUAAAGAAGUCGGUUAGCAUUCGCGAAGCUGGUAACUGAAGCCCUGGUGAACGGCGGCCGUAACAAUAACGGUCCUAAGGUAGCGAAAUUCCUUGUCGGGUAAGUUCCGACCCGCACGAAAGGCGUAAUGAUUUGGAUACUGUCUCGGAGAGGGGCUCGGUGAAAUAGACUUGUCUGUGAAGAUGCGGACUACCUGCACCUGGACAGAAAGACCCUAUGAAGCUUUACUGUAACUUGAAAUUGAAAUUGGACUUUAUUUGCGCAGUAUAGGUGGGAGGCGUUGAAAAUAUUCUUGCGGGAAUAUUGGAGCCAUCAGUGAGAUACCACUCUUGUAAUGUUAGAUUUCUAACUUUAUAUCAUUAUCUGGUUAAAGAACAGUUUCAGGCGGGCAGUUUGACUGGGGCGGUCGCCUCCCAAAUGGUAACGGAGGCGCACAAAGGUUUCCUCUGAACGGGUAGAAAUCGUAUCUAGAGUGUAAAGGCAUAAGGAAGCUUGACUGUGAGACCUACAAGUCGAGCAGGGACGAAAGUCGGUCUUAGUGAUCUGACGGUGCUGAGUGGAAAGGCCGUCACUCAACGGAUAAAAGUUACUCUAGGAUAACAGGCUGAUCUCCCCCAAGAGUUCACAUCGACGGGGAGGUUUGGCACCUCGAUGUCGGCUCAUCGCAUCCUGGGGCGGUAGUACGUCCCAAGGGUUGGGCUGUUCGCCCGUGAAAGCGGUACGCGAGCUGGGUUCAGAACGUCGUGAGACAGUUCGGUCCAUAUCCGGUGUAGGCGUUAGAAUAUUGAGAGGAGCCUUCUUUAGUACGAGAGGACCGAGAAGGACAUACCUCUGGUGUACCGGUUAUCGUGCCAACGGUAAACGCUGGGUAGCUAUGUAUGGAGUGGAUAACCGCUGAAAGCAUCUAAGUGGGAAGCCCACCUCAAGAUAAGUAUUCUC
rnacentral:rRNA from 1 species